CACCACGCUCGGGCCCUUUGCUGCUGCCCCGUAUGCGACUCCUGGAUCGGCAAACUACCCCACGCCGGCGCCCUUUCCUGCUGCUCCAACACUGCUGCCGGGGCCCUCUAGCUGGGAUCAGCAGGCCUUGUUUCACCAGGCCUACAGCAACGUCGCGACCCAACACCCCAACAGCGCCACCGACUGGAUAAUGGAUUCAGGCGCCUCUUCACACGUCACAGGUCAGCAAGGAUCUCGCCAGCAGGACGGUUCUCAUGCGCUCCAAUAGCCCAGGUCCACUCUACCCCUUCCAUGGUGAUUCGGAGCACACCACGAUGGCUCUCUCCGUUGCGGUCAACGGCGAUACCUGGCACAAACGGCUUGGUCACCCCGGCCACGCUACUCUCUCACGUCUUUCUCGUGAUUUUAUUCAGCUUUGUAAUAAACCGGCCCCUAUAUGCUCAUC